GGACGAACGCUGGCGGCGUGCCUAAUACAUGCAAGUCGAACGGUCUUUCUAUGGAAGCUUGCUUCCACUGGGAAGAUAGUGGCGGACGGGGUGAGUAACACGUGGGUAACCUGCCCAUAAGAGGGGGAUAACAUCCGGAAACGGGUGCUAAUACCGCAUAGUUUUCUUGAUCGCAUGAUUGAGAAAGGAAAGACGGCCUUUGUGCUGUCGCUUAUGGAUGGACCCGCGGCGUAUUAGUUAGUUGGUGAGGUAACGGCUCACCAAGACGAUGAUACGUAGCCGACCUGAGAGGGUGAUCGGCCACAUUGGGACUGAGACACGGCCCAAACUCCUACGGGAGGCAGCAGUAGGGAAUCUUCCGCAAUGGACGAAAGUCUGACGGAGCAACGCCGCGUGAGUGAAGAAAAGGUUUUCGGAUCGUAAAACUCUGUUGUCAGAGAAGAACAAGUCGGAGAGUAACUGCUCCGGCCUUGACGGUAUCUGACCAGAAAGCCACGGCUAACUACGUGCCAGCCGCUGC
rnacentral:rRNA from 1 species